UACGUAGGGCGCAAGCGUUAUCCGGAAUUAUUGGGCGUAAAGAGCUCGUAGGCGGUUUGUCGCGUCUGCUGUGAAAACCCGAGGCUCAACCUCGGGCCUGCAGUGGGUACGGGCAGACUAGAGUGCGGUAGGGGAGAUUGGAAUUCCUGGUGUAGCGGUGGAAUGCGCAGAUAUCAGGAGGAACACCAAUGGCGAAGGCAGAUCUCUGGGCCGUGAACUGACGCUGAGGAGCGAAAGCAUGGGGAGCGAACAGG
rnacentral:rRNA from 1 species